AACGAACGCUGGCGGCGCGCCUAAUACAUGCAAGUUGAGCGAGAAGGUGUAGCAAUACACUUGUAAAGCGGCGAACGGGUGAGGAAUGCAUGGGUAACCUACCCUCGAGUGGGGAAUAACUAGCCGAAAGGUUAGCUAAUACCGCAUACGUUUCCGGAACUUCGGUUUCGGAAAGAAAGCAAUACCGUGGGUAUUGCGCUCCUGGAUGGGCUCAUGUCCUAUCAGCUUGUUGGUGAGGUAACGGCUCACCAAGGCUUCGACGGGUAGCUGGUCUGAGAGGACGAUCAGCCACACUGGCACUGCGACACGGGCCAGACUCCUACGGGAGCAGCAGUAAGGAAUAUUGCGCAAUGGACGAAAGUCUGACGCAGCGACGCCGCGUGGGGGGAUGAAGGUCUUCGGAUUGUAAACCCCUUUCGGGAGGGAAGAUGGAGUGGGUAACCACUUGGACGGUACCUCCAGAAGCAGCCACGGCUAACUUCGUGCCAGCAGCCGCGGUAAU
rnacentral:rRNA from 1 species